UCCAUGGUGGUCCGGUGGCUAAGACUCUGCGCUCCCAACGCAGGGGUUCUGGGUUCAAUCCCCAGUCAGGGAA
rnacentral:tRNA from 1 species